rfam:Lactobacillus ruminis ATCC 27782, complete genome.
GUUAAUCUUCAGGGCAGGGUGAAAAUCCCGACCGGCGGUAUAGUCCGCGACUCUCUUAUUGAGAUUGAACUGGUUUGAUUCCAGUACCGACAGUUAUAGUCUGGAUGAAAGAAGAUAGGG